CCUGCGUCGCAGAUAGUGCGCAUACAUCGACACAGUGUCCACGUUGCCGCUCCGUGCACUACGAUAAUGUCAAACCAGUUUUCCAACUAGUCUCUGUGUCGGUUACUGUGUCAUUUAACGCUUAAUAAUACAGUUCAUUUUAUUUACAAUUUGAUCACGGAGUUGUACGCGUUGAUUAUUUGAGUUACGAUCACCUUUUGUCAUUUCUUCCUUCCUACUCUUGGCAUAAUUUGUUGAGUUUUGAAUGAAUGUGCUGUGUUCAAUGUUUACGUUUUUUUGUUGAAUCUAAUAAUAAUGUUUUUAUCUUACGAUGUGAUUGCGACUUUUGGAGUGUCAGCGUUGGUGUCAUUCUUCGUAUCGGUGGCAUUACUGCUAGCCGUGGCAUCGAAGCGGGGACUGCUGCGUGUAUCUACCAGCUCUGAGCCACUGGUCGUGCCCGUCAAGGAGAAGAUUGCACCAUCAGCGCCUGAACUAGCUCCGUUAGCUGGCUCUACGUAGAGAUAAAUAUUAUUUUAUUGAUUUUUGAAAGUAAAAUAUUAAUAAUGAAAUAUCAAUUAAGAUUCAGAGGUGACAAUAUGUACGCCCUAAGAAGAGGAGCCUAAGCCAUUUAUAAUAAAAUUAACGAUGUUUGAAGGUAUACAGUAGAGCAGAACUAGACGUUAUGAAUGUUGUAAUAACAUACUUAAAUUUACAUUUUCAUAUGUUUUAAUUUUAAUGAGUUGUUUAAAUGUAAAUUGAAAUACAUAAUUAGAAGAUAUUUAAACAUUCUUAAUGGAAUAUCAAGAUACAAAUGGCUAAAGUAUACGUUCUUAAUAAUGAACCAUAUAAUGUUUAAUAACUUUUUACUACAAUUAUUAGAACCAGCCUUAGUGCGUCCAUAAAUUACGUGAGGUGUUUUUUAAAUUAUCUGUCCCUCCCUCCCCCUGGUGAGAUGUCGUGAGAUUUUAUUCAACCCCCUCCCCCAUCACCCAAUCUCACGUGAGAUUUUUCAAAAUGUGGGUUUCUUACGUAAACGCGUUGGAUUGUUAUUGUAGCAAGAAAAAAAAUGUUCGUGCUUUUAUUUACAACUAGUUAAGACUAGUAAUCAGACACAAUCAACAAAUAAGACAGUCAGUAGAUGUAUAACGUCGAAGUAUGAAUGAAAUUAUUUUCUUUCGAACGAAUUAGUGAAUGAACUUAAUCGUAUUUUUAUUUGCCGACCCCCUCCAACUUAAGAUUAGAUGAGAUUUGACUUAACCCCCUAAGAGGGGGCUCUUAAACAUCUCACAUAUUUUAUGAACGCCCCCUUACAUAAUAUUGUAUGUGAGUCUUAUCAGUCGCUUAACUAGUAGUAAUAUAGGUAAAGUAUUUUUUUAAAACUGAAAAAUAAUUUUCAUUAAAUCAACUCGAAUAUUUAAGCCACUCAACUGACGUUUGGAUCAAUGGCUUUACUAGUAUCAAAACUGAACAACUGGGCACAUCAGGCAAUAUCCUGCUCAAAUACUGGAGCAGCCCGACUGGGGAUGUACCUCGACCUUACAGAAGAUCACAGCUAACCACCACGAGAGCCCAAUACUGCUUUCAAGCAGUGUUAGGUUCUCGUGAUGAGUCACCAGAGCUCCUGAAGAGGAUUGGGGGUAGGGUACAAUAAAAAUCAAGAUGAGCCGUACACUUGUUUGUCGGCCUAAUUGUAUAAAAAGCCACAAUGCUUUUGUCAAAAUAGGUACGUACUUAGCUCUACAAUACGCCAUGCAUGUAUAAUAUUUUACACUAGAAUAUAACACGAGGAUUAAUCUCUACCUGCCGUAUGUAGGUAUCGGUACGGGUAUUGAGCGGUCGAAGUCUGCUCGAAGUGGGAAUCGCUUUGCGCGAGGUUGCAAACCAAAAAUAUAUUUGUCUAAAUCAAAAAAAAAAAAAAAUGGAGUUUGGCAAGGUAAAACAACCGUUCCAUCGCAUUUGUAAUGCAGUGCAUCAGAUUUGAGAGCUUGAGUCUUAAAAAAAUAGUAAAAAUAAAUUAAAUGUAAAAGUAUUUAGUUAUCAUUGAAUAUCUAUGCCCAUAAAUGUUGGUGUAAAGUGCCCAAUAUACUCACCGAUAACUAUACUAUAGUAGGUAUUGAUACGUGAAACUACGAAUUCUACUUAACCAAGAUAUUAAGUCUUAAAGCUAAUUUUAUUUGUGCUAUGAAUAAUAAAUAUCGAUUCAGCCGGUAACAUCCUACAGCUGGGCAUAGGCUUCUUACACACUUGACAGAAAUUCAAGCUGAAAAAAAAGUUAUAUAAAGACAAAUGUCCAUUCCGAGAGGAAUCGAAACCACAAACCGUCUGUGUUUUAGGCGCCUUAUAUAUAAACAUUUUGGAGUUAACUCCUUAAAAUGGAUUGUCAUACAAGGCCCCUGGUGUGUAAAAAUAUGAGGAGUAAAAUCUACUGAACGAAUGACCUCGUUACGUUUCUCGUAACGCCAUCUAUCGGAUAACCGAGAUGACGCUACGACGUUAUUUGAUUCGUUUAUUUACCAUUCAAUAUGGUGUUGAUCUUUUUUUUAGACUAGUAAGUCUUUUGUGCCUAUUUAAACAGUCGAUCUGAAGGAGUAAACUCCAGUCGUGCGUCGGAGCUGACACACACACACAUUUUUUUAUUUUUAUGAGUAAGCUAUUUGCCAUAUAAUGGAUUUUAAAUAUGAGUAUGUAUUAAAAUGGUGACUAUUGACUAAAGUAUGUAGAGGUUAGAGGUUUAGAGGUUUAGUUGUCCUCUUGGUUCCACACCCAUAGGAUGGUAGUGAACUCUAUUAUUAAAAACGGUUAAUGUCGACCGAUAGAUAUUAGUUUUAAUAUCAUAAUAUAUAGUUAUGUUAUUAUUUAAAAAAUGUGUACUAAAUUACGAAAAUGUAACGCACACAACUGUAUACAUCUGUCAAUAAUAAUAAAACAGUAUAUUUUUAAAACGUUUUAUUUAAAUUUCCCUUGA
rnacentral:misc_RNA from 1 species